rnacentral:rRNA from 1 species
CCCUUAGACGCUCUAGGCGGCACGCGCGCUACAAUGGGUGGUAGAACGUGUAACUGCUCCCGAAAGGGAGGGUGAACCACGAAUACUUACCCGUGAAUGGGAUAGUUUGUUGCAAUUUUCGGACUUGAACUAGGAAUCCCUUGUAAGAAUGCUCAAGAAUAGCGUGCUGAAUACGUCCCUGCCGUUUGUACACACCGCCCGUCGUUUCUUCCGACUGAUACUCAUUGUGAGUUGCAAGGAUUCUUAUUGAAAAAUUGCUGCGAAUGCUUUGUAUUGGAGGAAGAAAAAGUCAUAACA